AGGGAAUAUUGCGCAAUGGACGGAAGUCUGACGCAGCGACGCCGCGUGGAUGAAGAAGGCCUUCGGGUUGUAAAAUCCUUUUCAGGGGGAAGAGAUAGGACGGUACCCUUGGAAUAAGCGUCGGCUAACUACGUGCCAGCAGCCGCGGUAAGACGUAGGACGCGAGCGUUAUCCGGAUUUACUGGGCGUAAAGCGUCUGUAGGCGGGCUUGUAAGUUGGGCGUGAAAGCUCCGGGCUUAACUCGGAGAAGCCGUUCAAUACUGCAGGUCUAGAGGCCAUCAGAGGGGCGUGGAAUUUCCGGUGUAGCGGUAAAAUGCGCAGAUAUCGGAAGGAACACCAGUGGCGAAGGCGGCGCCCUGGGGUGGACCUGACGCUAAGAGACGAAAGCUAGGGGAGCGAAC
rnacentral:rRNA from 1 species